AGCCCUACGGAUGUGCCACAUGGUCUGUUUCCUUGUACAAGUUCGCACGGGUUAGGCGGGGUUGUAGGGCGGCUCCUUCAACCUCGCCGCUUA
rfam:Xanthomonas campestris pv. vesicatoria plasmid pXCV183, complete genome